CCACCGAGCCACGCUGCUUUUCUAAAAUAGCAUCUUACCCCCAGAAGACUCUUCUGAAGCUUCUCUUCCGGUUAGCACAACCCCCCGCCCGGCAGGAAGGACCCCCCAACCCUCAGGACUUGCCCCAAUCGACACGUCACCCCAUCUUUUAAGGGCAGGGUGACAUCCUCCUCCCGUGACGCGGGGGCCCGAUCAUCCGGCGGGUUAAAAAUACCAACAGAAUGAAAAUUUAAAAAAAGAGAAAAAAAAGAGGCCUAGAAAUAGUCGGUGGAACGGCACUCAGAGGCCCUGUGAAUGACUGAUAGAAGCGCCAGAUCAUCCAGCAGGGUUAAAAAUAGCUAGAGAAUGAAAAAUCAAAGGCUGUGCAACAGUGCUCAGAAACUUGAGAAUGGCUGGCCAGAAGGGGAAUAAUCCCAGCGAACGGCAUCAGCAACUAAGAAGGAAUUGAAAGUCUUUUGUGGACCGAGACGGUUUCUGGGGAGAUCCAACCCAUGAACAUGAAUGGGGAUGAACAUGGGAUCAGUAGACCGACCUGUGUCAUUUACAGGCCCUCACGGAAGUAGUUUUUACAAGCCACUGGCCAAUUGGUCAGCAAUAAGAAAAGUACUGGGGAUGCAGUCUGCUGAGGAGCUGCGUUUUGAGUCACGGGACCUGGGUUCUAAAUCCCAGCCUCACCACUUGUGACCUUGGCUUCCUUGCUGGGCCGAGAUGAGACAUCGCUUGUAAUCUGGUGACGGGAAGCAAGGCUGAUGUCUGAAAAGGGUCUUGGAUGUGAAAGCCACCUUUGCUCCUGGACUUUCAAAGCCACCAGAAGAAGAGGAAAGAAGAAAGAAGACCGAAGAAGAAAGAGGCAAUUUGUCCACCGACCGUUCAGGAUGGAAAAGAGGUGUGGUGAUGGUUGUGCGAGAGAAAAGAGGGGAACUCUGUCGCCGGGCUCCGGCCUUGCACUCUCUCCGUGUGACCCACCCGAUCCUAAAUUUGCCGAACAACGCCUGCGGGCUUGACAAAGCUGAGCUUGCUGCCUGCAAAAUUUGCACGUAUUCGCUCCUGAACCCAGGAAUUGAUCAUCAGUGUCAUACAGAUGACCCAGACCCACGGUACCUCCGGCACGGAACAUGCUAGGCAGGUUUCAGUUGGGUGUUCAUCAGAACUUUUGGCAGAAGAAGAAACUGAGGCACCGAAGGAAGGUCACAC